rnacentral:rRNA from 1 species
GACGAACGCUGGCGGCGUGCCUAAUACAUGCAAGUGGGACGCAAGGGAACACACUGUGCUUGCACACCGUGUUUUCUUGAGUCGCGAACGGGUGAGUAACGCGUAGGUAACCUGCCUAUUAGCGGGGGAUAACUAUUGGAAACGAUAGCUAAUACCGCAUAAUAUUAAUUAUUGCAUGAUAAUUGAUUGAAAGAUGCAAGCGCAUCACUAGUAGAUGGACCUGCGUUGUAUUAGCUAGUUGGUAAGGUAAGAGCUUACCAAGGCGACGAUACAUAGCCGACCUGAGAGGGUGAUCGGCCACACUGGGACUGAGACACGGCCCAGACUCCUACGGGAGGCAGCAGUAGGGAAUCUUCGGCAAUGGACGAAAGUCUGACCGAGCAACGCCGCGUGAGUGAAGAAGGUUUUCGGAUCGUAAAGCUCUGUUGUAAGUCAAGAACGUGUGUGAGAGUGAAAGUUCACACA